rnacentral:tRNA from 1 species
GCCGAGAUAGCUCAGUUGGCGGAGCACCUCAAUGGUAAUGAGGAGGCCCCGGGUUCGAUUCCCGGUCUCGGCU